UUGGGAAUUUUGCGCAAUGGACGAAAGUCUGACGCAGCGACACCGCGUGAAGGAAGAAGCUUUUCGGAGUGUAAACUUCUUUUGUUUGGGAGAACUAUGAUAGUACCAGACGAAUAAGUACCGGCAAACUACGUGCCAGAAGCCUCGGUGAAACGUAGGGUACAAGCGUUAUCCGGAAUUAUUGGGCGUAAAGCGUGUCCAGGUGGUUUUUUAAGUUUCCUGUUAAAUUCUGAGGCUCAACUUCAGACCUGCAGGGAAUACUGGGAAACUAGAGGUCAGUAGAGGUGCAUGGAACUCUCGGUGUAGGGGUGAAAUCCGUUGAUAUCGAGAGGAACACCAAUGGCGAAGGCAGUGCACUAGACUGAUUCUGACACUCACACACGAAAGCGUGGGUAGCGAAAAGG
rnacentral:rRNA from 1 species